rnacentral:rRNA from 1 species
GAUGAACGCUGGCGACGUGCCUAAUACAUGCAAGUCGAGCGAACGGACGAGAAGCUUGCUUCUCUGAUGUUAGCGGCGGACGGGUGAGUAACACGUGGAUAACCUACCUAUAAGACUGGGAUAACUUCGGGAAACCGGAGCUAAUACCGGAUAAUAUUUUGAACCGCAUGGUUCAAAAGUGAAAGACGGUCUUGCUGUCACUUAUAGAUGGAUCCGCGCUGCAUUAGCUAGUUGGUAAGGUAACGGCUUAUCAAGGCAACGAUGCAUAGCCGACCUGAGAGGGUGAUCGGCCACACUGGAACUGAGACACGGUCCAGACUCCUACGGGAGGCAGCAGUAGGGAAUCUUCCGCAAUGGGCGAAAGCCUGACGGAGCAACGCCGCGUGAGUGAUGAAGGUCUUCGGAUCGUAAAACUCUGUUAUUAGGGAAGAACAUAUGUGUAAGUAACUGUGCACAUCUUGACGGUACCUAAUCAGAAAGCCACGGCUAACUACGUG